CUACUCGUUGGUGACCACGGCUUUACCCAGUUCCUAGGGCUCAACAUGCAACCCUGUAAAUUUACACACCCCCUCACCCAAUUCCUAGGGCUCAGGGUGUAACUUCCCGCGGGUUGGCAGGAUCUUUAGCCAUUGAAAGAGCCUCACACGGUAAUAUCCUGAUCCUCUAUUGAUUGACAAUCCCCGAGCAAGCAGAAUGCACAUGCUAAGCACACAGCGUCAAGCUCACCAAUCCUGGUACAGGCGACUUCCCCGGUUGGACAGACAAUAUCAGUCUCUCUGGAUCUUAGCUGCUGCACAUCACGGUUGUGCUGGAGAGUCCUGGCCGCUCUUACCUUAGGCUGUCGCUCGGAGGUUUAAAGAACUGACCUACUUCAAGGAUUUUUAAUAAGGGGUGUGUGACGGGACGGACAGGCCGCGCACUGACGGACAGGGGGUAGCCCAGGCCCAGCUGGCGGAGAAAGCCCCGCCCCUCCGACCCUGCUGGGCAUGCUCCCAGCAGAGGCCGGGGAUAAAAGCAGAGGGAGCCCGGCAGUCGAGGAGAGGAGACCGCAGGGUGAGAGAGGAGACCAGGCCGGGCCGGUGAUUCUGCAGCAGCUGGGACCAGAGUCGCUGCCGGUGCCUGACCCUGAUGCCGAGAAAGCAGCCGCCAACCCAGGGAGGCAGGAGCGCGCCCGCAACCCCGGCAGCUGCCCAGACCCGCUCGGGGAAGGACGUGGCUUCGACAAACAAGACUCGGGCGCGAGAUUCUACAUUGCUGAUCCUCCCGGCUGACGUGGUACCGACCGUUCCCUGAAUUCCGAGGCUGCAUGAUCUGCCCCCGAUAACGGAGACCAUGGUGAAGACCGUUGCCGUGAUCGGAGCCGGGGUGAGCGGGCUGGCCUCCAUCAAGUGCUGCCUGGAUGAGGGGCUCCAGCCCACCUGUUUCGAGAGAAGCGACGAUAUCGGGGGGCUCUGGAGAUUCACGGAGCACGUGGAAGAGGGAAGACCCAGCCUCUACAAAUCCGUGGUCAGCAACACCUGCAAGGAGAUGUCCGCCUUCACCGACUUCCCGUACCGUGAGGAUUUUCCCGUCUUUCCGUCCAACUCCCAAGUCCUCGAGUAUCUCCGGAUGUAUGCUAACCAUUUCGGUCUUCUGAAGCACAUCCAGUUCAAGACCACAGUCAUCAGCGUAAGGAAAAGCCCCGAUUUCUCUGCCACUGGCCAGUGGACUAUUGUCACGGAGUCUAAUGGGAAGCAGGAGUCAUCUGUCUUUGAUGCUGUUAUGGUUUGCAUUGGCUAUCUCUCGGAUCCCUCCCUCCCGCUGGAGUCCUUUCCUGGCAUCAAGGUGUUUCAAGGCGAAUACUUUCACAGCCGCCAUUACAAGCACCCGGAUGUGUUUGAGGGGAAGAGAGUCCUUGUGAUUGGCAUGGGGAACUCGGGUGUGGAUAUCGCCGUCGAGGCCAGUCGUGUGGCCAAAAAGGUGAUGAUCAGCACGGGCCGAGGUGCCUGGGUGAUCAGUCGGGUGUUUGACAACGGUUACCCCUGGGACAUGAUCUUCCUCACUCGUUUCAUGAAUGUGAUCCGCAAUUCCCUCCCGGGGCCGCUCACGACGUGGCUGGUUGCUCACAGGACAAGCCAGUGGUUUGACCAUGCAAACUAUGGCCUGAUACCUAAGGACAGAGUCAUGAUACGGGAGCCAGUACUCAAUGAUGAACUUCCGGGCUGUAUCAUCACUGGGAAAAUCACGGUAAAACCAAGUGUAAAGGAGAUCAAGGAAAAGUCGGUCGUGUUUCAAAACAGCCCCACGGAGGAGCCCAUCGACGUUAUCGUCUUUGCCACGGGGUACAAGUUCUCCUUCCCUUUCCUGGAGGAGUCGGUCCUCCAAGUCGAAAAGAAGCAGGCGUCCCUGUACAAAUACAUCUUCCCCCCGCAGCUGGAGAAGCCAACCCUGGCUGUCAUUGGCCUCAUCAAGCCUUUUGGCGCGGUCACGCCGGUCUUCGAAAUUCAAGCUCGCUGGGUCACGCGUGUCUUUAAGGGCUUGAGUCAGCUGCCGCCGGUGAGCGCCAUGGUGGAAGAGAUCAACGAGACAAAGAAAAAUAAAGUUCGCUGGUUCGGUCUGUCCUACGAUGAGGUCCUGAAAACCGAUUGCCUCGUGUAUAUUGACGAACUCGCCUCCUUUAUCGGCUCCAAACCUAAUGUGCUGGCCCUGCUCUUCACGGAUCCAGUCCUGGCCAUGAAAAUUUUCUUUGGCCCAUGCACAGCCUACCAGUACCGACUGACGGGGCCGGGGAAGUGGGACGGAGCCAGGAACGCCAUCCUGACCCAAUGGGACCGGACAAUAAAGCCCAUGAAAACCCGAGUGGUAGAAGAGCCGCCAAACUUCUGUCUCAAUUUGCUUAAACUAAUGGGCCUUCUUGCUCUCUUUGCUGCCAUUUUCCUUGGUUUCAAGUAGUCCAGGUGUGAUAUACAAGCCAGCGUGUAUUCAUCUUCUGGCUAGACACUAUCUCUAUAUGGGGAGUCAGGAAAGAAAUUACUACAAAGUUCCCUUAUGCACAGAAAGUUUUCUAAAGUGUGAAUGGGAACGCCUGUGAAUUUCAGCGCUACACAGACGUGGGGGGCAGGGGUGCAAAGGUCACAGGAGCUGUGGAAUCCGAGUCAGCUGCAACCCUGCGGACUUCACUCUCUCCUGUAAUUUAUAACGAGACAAACUUCUCCCGGAACCCGGUCGAAUGCAAAACGAAAAAGACACCACCUCA